rnacentral:rRNA from 1 species
ACACAUGCAAGUCGAACGGAGAUUACGGACGGAAGUUUUCGGAUGGAAGGCUGUAAUUCUUAGUGGCGGACGGGUGAGUAACGCGUGGGCAACCUGCCCUGUACAGGGGGAUAGCAGCUGGAAACGGCUGGUAAGACCGCAUAAGUCGGCGGGACCGCAUGGUUCUGUCGGGAAAUGAGCAAUCAGGUACAGGAUGGGCCCGCGUCCGAUUAGCCAGUUGGCAGGGUAAGAGCCUACCAAAGCGACGAUCGGUAGCCGGACUGAGAGGUCGGACGGCCACAUUGGGACUGAGACACGGCCCAAACUCCUACGGGAGGCAGCAGUGGGGGAUAUUGCACAAUGGGGGAAACCCUGAUGCAGCGACGCCGUGUGAGUGAAGAAGUAUUUCGGUAUGUAAAGCUCUAUCAGCAGGGAAGAUGAUGACGGUACCUGACUAAGAAGCCCCGGCUAACUACGUGCCAGCAGCCGCGGUAAUACGUAGGGGGCAAGCGUUAUCCGGAUUUACUGGGUGUAAAGGGAGCGCAGGCGGUUUUGCAAGUUGAGAGUGGAAGCAGGGGGCUCAACCCCCUGACUGCUCCCAAAACUGUAGGACUUGAGUAUGGGAGAGGCAGGCGGAAUUCCUAGUGUAGCGGUGAAAUGCUUAGAUAUUAGGAAGAACACCGGUGGCGAAGGCGGCCUGCUGGACCAAAACUGACGCUGAGGCUCGAAAGCGUGGGUAGCAAACAGGAUUAGAUACCCUGGUAGUCCACGCUGUAAACGUUGAAUACCAGGUGCCGGGGGGCAUAAGCCUUUCGGUGCCGUCGCAAACGCAUUAAGUAUUCCACCUGGGGAGUACGUUCGCAAGAAUGAGACUCAAAGGAAUUGACGGGGACCCGCACAAGCGGUGGAGCAUGUGGUUUAAUUCC